rnacentral:rRNA from 1 species
UACGGAGGAUCCGAGCGUUAUCCGGAUUUAUUGGGUUUAAAGGGAGCGUAGGCGGACGCUUAAGUCAGUUGUGAAAGUUUGCGGCUCAACCGUAAAAUUGCAGUUGAUACUGGGUGUCUUGAGUACAGUAGAGGCAGGCGGAAUUCGUGGUGUAGCGGUGAAAUGCAUAGAUAUAACUUAGAACUCCGAUAGCGAAGGCAGCUUACCAGACUGCAACUGACAUUGAGGCUCGAAAGUGUGGGUAUCAAACAGG